CAAAACGGACACAAUGCCAGGAUGUAACGAGGUAUUUGAAGUUGUUCAUCCAAAAAAUGUGCUUCUGUACAAAAUUCAUCUUUACAGGAAAAUGACUUAUUCCAGUAUCACAAUCAUGAUGAUUUGAUAUGUUAAGGGCUUUUAUGCGACAAAAGGGAUGCAAUUUUUCAAGGUGUUCCUGCGAUACACUGCCUCACCCAAAACAGCAAGAUGGCACAUCGAGUGGCAUCUUUGCUUUGAAAUUUGCUGAAUUUGUACUUAGAGAGGAGCCAAUUGUUUUAAUUAACACAAAAGAAGGAGUGGAAGACUUGAGAAAAGAAAUAGCUGUCACUCUUCUCCAAAACAGUGGUAUGUGUAAUGUACAGUAUCAGUCGUAACAUUACUAUUUUAAAUAUUUCUAAAAGAAGAAUCUUAUUUUCAUUAAGCCUGCAUUUAUUUGAUCAAAAAUAAACUGAAAUAUAAAAAAAAUAAUAAUGUGUUGUGAGAUGCUAUACAAAUGUAAAAUAAUGGUUUUCUAUUUUAAUAUAUUAUAAAAUAUAAUUUAUUUCUAUGAUGCAAAGCUGAAUUUUCUUCUGCAGAUUGAAGUGUCACACAAGCCUUUAGAAUUCAUUCUAAUAUUCUGAUUUAUUACCAAUGGUGGAAACAGUAGUGCUGAUUAUAUAUGUAUAUAUAUAAUUUUAUUUAUUUAUAUUUAUUUUUUUUUUUUAAGAGAAUACACUACAAGUUUGGGUCAGUGUUGAAUUUUUCUUUUUUUGUUUUGAAAAUUUUGAUUGUGAAGGCUUAUCAUUUUAGAAACGAUUUCCAUUUUAGAUGAAUGCUGGGGUUUUUUUUUUACAUUCUUAAAUUAAUCCUGAACAUAUCAUAGCAGCCUCUAAAAAAAAGGAGCACAACUGUUCAUGAUCAGCAUUCAGCAGUAAGAAUGCCUGCCUCUUCUACACUCUACAUUUCCUCCCUAGUUAUUAACUGCACAUCCUUCUUAAUCACCACACCUCUCUGCCAUCAUCCUCACCAACUCAUUUGACUACCUGCUUGUUUAGCAGAAAUUUACCUGUACCAAACGUUGAAAUAGGAUAUAUUUUCUUUUGCAAUGUACAUUCACUGACUGUACAUUCAAUGCAAAUCAUAUAACCUUCUCACUUGAAUUGGUUAUUUUAGAUGACCUGAGCCAGCUGUGCCAUGUCUGUGGGGAGAUAAGUGGUGAUAAUAUCUGGGUAUUACUGUUUUCUAUGGGCAAGAUUAUUCACUAUCUAUCACAAUUUAAUUAUUGGUUACAGUGUCUGUCUAGUGCCUUGAAGAAAAUUAUGUCUUCUCUACAUUUCAGAUUGCCUGUGACUGCUGCAAUCGGUGGUACCACCAAUCAUGUAUCCAGGCGACAUCACAAGUGCACUUUUUGUGUCAUGCCUGUCAAAAGUAGAAUUAAAGGAGUAACACUUUUUACACACCUCUUCUAUUAGUGGAUUUUUAUUUUGCAUGGUUUUGUUGCAUGAGCUUGGGAUUUUUGUACAUUUUGAAAAAUAGAGCUGUCUGUUUAAAUCGAACAAAACUUUGUGCGUUAAAUAUUAUUACUUGUGUAGGUGUAUCACAGCAAAUUUGGCAACUCUUCAUUAUGGGGGAAAAAGAAAUAGAGGGGGUAGAAUUCAGGCAGGGGGUUUACAUUCAGCUUGCCUAAAUAAUACCCCCCUAAAUAAUACAGCUGUCCAUGUUGUUAGAUUAAAUGUAGUAUUUUACACAUACAUUACUUGUGUAUUAACGCUAAAUAAAUACGCGGUUAGAGUUCACACAGGUGGUUUUAAAAGCAAAUGAUUACAUUCCUGAGUUUAUUCUGCCAUCUACAGGAAGCUGUGCGCGUUUUCUUCAAAUUGAUCUUUUGGCGUUAGGACCAGGAAAACAUUUGACCCAAUUUUCCGUGUUUUUAGUGCCAUCUACAGGAAAUACGACGGUACUGUGCGCGUGCACGCGUAGGGGGGUUGAUUUCAGACCGGGGGGUUGAAUUAGGCACAACACCGGACACAUCACCUUUCGUGCAUAUUAGCUGUGCGUGCAUUACGACACUUACUAUUGGCUGCGGCAAGGAGUAAAUUAGCAUAUGCAAAUGAGGUAACGUCGCGAUAUCGGCAUGUAGUUCUCAUAAAGCAACUAAUUAAAAUAUACAUCAUCACUUGUUAUCUGUUUUUAAAUCAAGUAUGUAGGCGGGGCAUUGGAGCUCAGGAGGAUCCAGACUCCAUCAGCUCCAGACUCCUUCAGACCUGUGCAGACCAGCAUGUUUGGUCUGAGCCUUAAUCCGGGAAAGGUACCACAGGUAUAGAAAACAUCCUGCGUGAGACCUGUACCAAAGACAUCAUGCCCAAAAGACUUUGGGGACUACAGUCCAGUGGCACUGACUCGCAUCUGAUGAAGACCUCCGACCUCUGUGCUUUUAACACCUGCACUCCUAAGGGAUAAGCUGGAGUACAUGGGAGUGGACCAUCAUCUGUCUACCUGGAUAUAGGAUUACCUCAGAAAUCGCCCACAGUAUGCGAGGACUCAUGCCUGAGUCUGACAUGGUUGUCUGCAACACUGGGGGUCCUCAGGGAACGGUCCUGGCCCCGUUCCUCUUCACUGUCUACACUGCAGACUUCAUGUUCAGCCCAGCAACCAGUCAUUGGCAGAAGUUCUCUGAUGACUCUGCCAUAGUCAGACUGAUCACAGAGUACAGAGGACUGAUCCAGAGUUUUGUGGACUUGUGCCAACAGAGGUGCCUCCAGAUAAAUGAGGAAAAAACAAAAGAACUAGUGGUGGAUAAUAUUCUCGAU